UCCGGUUUUUCACCGGCAGUCCCUCUAGAGUGCUCACCAUAACGUGUUAGCAACUAAAGGCAGGGGCUGCGCUCGUUGCGGGACUUAACCCAACAUCUCACGACACGAGCUGACGACAGCCAUGCAGCACCUCGACUAAUGUCCCUUGCGGGAAAAGAAACUUUCAUCUCCUGUCACUAGCCGUUCGAGCCCAGGUAAGGUUCUUCGCGUUGCGUCGAAUUAAACCACAUACUCCACCGCUUGUGCAGGCCCCCGUCAAUUUCUUUGAGUUUCAGCCUUGCGACCGUACUCCCCAGGCGGAAGACUUAUUGCGUUAGCUCCGGCACGGCGGGAUUGGUACCCGCCAUACCAAGUCUUCAUCGUUUAGGGCUAGGACUAC
rnacentral:misc_RNA from 1 species